CAAGUUAGAGCUUGAUAUAAGUAUUUCAUUUACAUUGAAAUGAUAUUGAUAAAAUCAAUUAAUUUGA
rnacentral:tRNA from 1 species